AUGGGAAUACUCUGGGAAUGCUCUGGGAACACACAGCCGAUCCCAUGGGAAUGUUGGGAACACACAGGGCUGAUCCCAUGGGAAGCUGGGAACACAGGCGGCCAAUCCCAUGGGAAUGCCAGGAAUGCACAGUCGAUCCCAUGGGAAUACUCUGGGAAUACUCUGGGAACACGCAGGGCUGAUCCCAUGGGAAUGCUGGGAACAUGCAGCCAAUCCCAUGGGAAUGCUCUGGGAACACACAGCCAAUCCCAUUGGAAUGCUUUGGGAAUGCUCUGGGAACACAGGCAGCCAAUCCCAUGGGAAUGCUUUGGGAAUGCUCUGGGAACACAGGCAGCCAAUCCCAUGGGUAUGCUGGGAAUGCACAGUCGAUCCCAUGGGAAUACUCUGGGAAUGGUCUGGGAACACACAGCCACAUCCCAUGGGAAUACUCUGGGAACACACGCAGCCAAUCCCAUGGGAAUGCUCUGGGAAUGCUCUGGGGACACACAGCUAAAUCCCAUGGGAAUGCUCUGGGGACACACAGCUAAAUCCCAUGGGAAUGUUGGGAAAACACACAGCCGAUCCCAUGGGAAUGCUCUGGGAACACACGCGGCCGAUCCCCCGGGAAGCUCCGGGCGCUGGGAUCCAGCGGGAUCGAUCCUACCUCCCCUGGAUCCUACCUGCCCUCGGCUGCUCCAGGGAAACCCGGGAGCUCCGGCGGGAGCGCGGCAGCUUCUCCGCCUCGGCCGCGCUCCUCCUGCGCUCCCCGUCCCCUGCGGGACAGGGAAAGGCCCCGGGAAUUGGGAAUUCAGGGGAAAACCCGCUGGGAAAGGCCCCGGGAAUUGGGAAUUCCACUGGGAAAAAUCCGCUGGGAAAAGCCACGGGAAUUGGGAAUUCCAGGGAAAACCCACAGGGAAAAGCCCCGGGAAUUGGGAAUUCAGGGGAAAACCCGCAGGGAAAAGCCAUGGGAAUUGGGAAUGCAGGGGAAAACCCACUGGGAAAAGCCCCAGGAAUUGCGAAUUCAGGAAUGGAAUUCAGGAAAUUCAGGAAAAAUCCAAGAACACUUCAUGGGAAUUGGGAUUCAGGGGGAAAACCCUGAGGGAAAAAUCCAAGGGAAACUGCCUGGGAACUGAGAUUUAG
rnacentral:lncRNA from 1 species